UGGUAGGACGGGGUGUAGAAGUCCAGCGCCUGCAGCACGGGGUAGAUCAGCGCCUGGACCUUGAACUUCACUGUCAGGCUGUCAUCAGAGCCGAGCUGAGGACGCAGUCAGGGAUCAGAUCACAGCUCAGCUUCAACAGACAAAGUGGUGCCGUCCACCUCAGUGUCCCUUGGAUCGAUGAAGGGAGGCUAGCAAAGUAAACACGUUUAAAGGGCCCACAUCGGGCUCUUUUCUAGGUUCAUACUUGUAUUUUGGUAGUGUGAUGUGUGUGUGUGUGUGUGUGUGUGUGUGUGUGUGUGUGUGUGUGUGUGUGUUUGUACCUCCUGCGCCACAGCAGCAGCCAGGUUCGCUCCAGCGCUGUCGCCAGACACACACACCCUCUCCGGGUCGACGCCGUAGCGCUCUAAAACCUGAGCCGUCAGGAAGGCCCGCGACGCCGCCAGCGUGUCGUGGUACUGAUCCGGGAACACCGCCUCUGGAGCGAGACGGUAACUAUAGCAACAGGACAUCACAGGAAGACAACGUUAUUAUGUUACAUGAUGCUUUGAAACAUGACUUUGAAACAGCCGUUAGGGCAGUGGUUCAGUCCUGCAGGAGCUAAACGGUUCACUUUUUACUGAGUCAUUUUAGAGAAACUUGUCAGUUUAAAUGUAUUUUCUUCCAGAUUUUAAGUCCCCCAAGCUUCUCAUUUAAAUUCUGAUGGAAGAAGAUAGUUUAGUUUACUGUAAACAUGCUCUUUCAAUCAUGCUUCAUAUAAUAAAAAGUGAAAAUUGACAAAGAGAAAAUGAAUCUGGACUGCCAGACCCCAUUAAAGUAAUUUAUAGAAUUAAAAUGUUUAAAUUCUUUCACAAAAACAAUCUCAUCAAAAGGUCCAAUUACUUGUUUUUUGCUGCUCAACAGUUUUAUAAUCACCGAUUCCCUUUAGGCCUGCACCAUAUGAGGAAAAUCGGUGAUAUCAUUGUUCAAUAUUGCGAUGUUCGAUAUGACUUGGGGUAAAUAAAUAAAUAUUGCAGUGUGCAUAUUAGCUAUAUUUGUCAGCCUGGUUUUCUUUUAAAUUCAGAACCGCAUUAGAAUUGAAUACUUUAAAUAUAACGAGGCUACAUGUUGUUUCUAGAGCAGCAACCUUGAUGUUUACAACAGUAAAGUCACCAUAUGAACUCCAUAACAUCUCACUGGAUGCAGCGUGAUAACGAAUACUAACGUUACGGUCUUUAGCCCCGCGGCCCGUUUAAUACCGGAUUAUAGAGACCGUCCCUAAAUAAUAUAAAUAUUCUUAAUCAUCAUGUUUCAGGCCGUCUUUUGAUGAAAAUACAAUUUAUCAGUCAGCACUAAUUCCCUUUUUUUUAAACUAAUGAGCCACCUUUGGGAAGAGUUUUAAUAGACGUGUUUUCCAACACGCUGUUUUAAGAACUCUUCGUCUAUUUUGGAAUCAUUUUUGGCGUUACAUAAUAAGCUAAAUAUAUCGACAACUAAUAGAUUAAUCCUGCUGUUAUGUGACAGAGACUUACUCCACAGACACGACGACAGCGUCCAGGUCCUCCGCCAUUUUCCGACAAAGACGGUCGUACGAUCGCAUCCCUGUGAAGCAGUCGACUCACUGCUGCUUCCCUCCCUUCGGCUGGAAGACGCGGGCUGGCACGCCGCCCAGCGUGGAGUCGGUCACGUGCACGGCGGGGCAGGAGCGAGGCUCGAUGUCCUCCACCCAGGACACCA